rnacentral:rRNA from 1 species
UGACGGUACCUGACUAAGAAGCCCCGGCUAACUACGUGCCAGCAGCCGCGGUAAUACGUAGGGGGCAAGCGUUAUCCGGAUUUACUGGGUGUAAAGGGAGCGUAGACGGCAAGGUAAGUCUGAAGUGAAAUGCCGGGGCUCAACCCCGGAACUGCUUUGGAAACUAUCUCGCUCGAGUACCGGAGGGGUAAGCGGAAUUCCUAGUGUAGCGGUGAAAUGCGUAGAUAUUAGGAGGAACACCAGUGGCGAAGGCGGCUUACUGGACGGUAACUGACGUUGAGGCUCGAAAGCGUGGGGAGCAAACAGGAUUAGAUACCCUG